rnacentral:rRNA from 1 species
AUUGAACGCUGGCGGCAUGCUUUACACAUGCAAGUCGAACGGUAACAGGCCGCAAGGUGCUGACGAGUGGCGAACGGGUGAGUAAUGCAUCGGAACGUGCCCAGUCGUGGGGGAUAACGCAGCGAAAGCUGCGCUAAUACCGCAUACGAUCUAUGGAUGAAAGCGGGGGACCUGUAAGGGCCUCGCGCGAUUGGAGCGGCCGAUGUCAGAUUAGGUAGUUGGUGGGGUAAAGGCUCACCAAGCCGACGAUCUGUAGCUGGUCUGAGAGGACGACCAGCCACACUGGGACUGAGACACGGCCCAGACUCCUACGGGAGGCAGCAGUGGGGAAUUUUGGACAAUGGGCGCAAGCCUGAUCCAGCAAUGCCGCGUGCAGGAAGAAGGACUUCGGGUUGUAAACUGCUUUUGUACGGAACGAAACGGCUCUGGUUAAUACCUGGGGCUAAUGACGGUACCGUAAGAAUAAGCACCGGCUAACUACGUGCCAGCCGCCGCAGUAACAC